ensembl:lncRNA
AGGGAUCUGCCACAUUUGGCUGUGUGCGGUUGAAGAUAGCCAUGUAAAUGCACAGGCUGUAAUUCUAUGCAAUGCAUGCUGGUCCCUUCUUGCAGAUUUUUCCUGGGUCCCUGCCACCCCUAUCUUUCGACAAUAAGAGGGUAAUCUUGCCCCAAUAUCUGGGGCUGGGUGGUUGGAGGGAAGAAGUGAUAUUCUUGUCAAGUCAAUUGCAUUCAUGUUAAAAGAACCCAAGGAAGACCCAGACCCUUCAGUCUCUCCAAAAUGGAAAGAACCAGGAAGACUUGAACUUAGCUUAAAACAUCAGAGCAAUAAUAGUACAAUGGGAUCUAUCUAGUCUGGGUCAUUUGAGACAUAAAAGCCAGAGCUGGACAGGCUCUUUAAAGCAAAGAUUGAACCCAAGGAUGAGGAAAGACAACCUCAUUGAGAGGGUGAGGCGGGUCCUUUCUCACCUCACUGGAUGGAGUGGGUCCUGCUACCUUCUCUGUUCCCACUGCCCCACUUUCCACCCAACCCCCAAUUCCACAUGGAAGAGAGGAAAAAGGGCAGAGGCGCCCCACAGCAGAGCCCCUCUCAAGGCUGUAUAGAAAACAUCUGCGGGCAAUAAAUUCAUGGGGAAAUGUGACCUCCAGAGAGCUGGGCUCCCUGGGAGGCAUCAGCCGCACUCUUAAUCGUGCAUUUUAUUGUUUCUAACAUGGCGCAGCAAGUCACUUGUGUGACAGUACAUUAGAGGCAACAGAGCAAGUUAGAAUAAAUAGACUCUGUCCCCUCACAGAGCCUCUUCUACAGAAACCAGGACACAAGUGCCUUCUAAAGGCCAGAGGGUAAAGAGUCCAUGAAACGGACUUGAGGGUUUUAAGAGUUCCCAGGAUGCCUUCAGCCCAACCCAGCUUAAACAGUAAGAUGUACAGGCCCAGGAGUUGAAAAUUCAAAUGCUUCCAAUUACAAUCUAGUAACACACAUAAGGGACCAGCUUAAGAUUAGCUGUGACUCCUCCUGCCGUACUCCCGAGCCAUGUCAAAGGCGAUUUUAGGCUUUAAUGUGAGAGUGCCCUCUUCUGGAGGAGGCAGUGGGGAGUAGUUGAAAGCCCACUGGACUUAGCACCCAAAGGUGCCCUUGAGAUCUGUUGCUCCUCAACUGUUGCCGGGGUGAAACCUUGGAUAAGUGACUUGACUGCUGUGCAUUCUGAUUGCCUCAGCCAUCUGUCAGUUGGGAAUCAUAACCUCCAAGCACCCACAAGAGGCGAUACCCUGCUGCAGGACUCAGAUAGGACUAGGUACCUAAGUCCUGAAGGUGGCAUGUAGGUAAGUGUGAGAGGUAAUUGGUUCCCCCUUAAGGAUUUCAGAUCAAGUAGGAAAAGGAAGUGGGGAGAGGCAGUUGUGUCCUUAUCUGCAGAAAUUAGCCAGCAUGUAUUAUACUUUAGGAGUUAACAGUCUUGUGGGUUUGACACUUGUAUCCUCCUUUUAAUAAAUGGGAAGUCAAAGUUCAGUAAAGUGGGAAUUCCAUGUGGUCAUAUAGCCAGGGAGUACCAGCCCUUAGACUUAAACACAUGUUUUCUAACGCCAUAGCUCACCCUUUCUAUCAGACCAAGUUGGCUUGGACUGGUGUCUCGGAAUCAUCUGGCCAGCAUUCCAGAGCUCAGUGGUUCUUCCCAAGAACCAUGCCAAGGAGACGACAGUGACAAACAAGGUUAGGGCCCCAGUUUCCUCUUAUCCAUCCACAGCCUUUCUCUUCNAUGUGGGAGAACCUGUCAUUCACUUCGUCUGUCCGUCCAUCCAUCCAUUCAUCAGUCCAUAUGUCUGUCCCUCCUUGUAGGAGACCUCAGGUUGAUAGAAAAAUAAAAUUUAGAGUCAGAAGGAGUGGGUUUCAGUCCCUAAGGCAGAAUUUCUUUCACCUGCAUCAGAAACUUCUGUUAAAUGUGUGGAUUCCAAGCCCUACUGAAUGAAAUUCUCUGGGGCUACAGCCCACUAAGCUGUAUUUUUAGCAAGCUCCCUGAAUGACACAUAGGUUUGAGAAUUUCUGCUCUACAGCAUUAUCUUAACUUCCAGUAUAUUCCAAGCUGCUCAAAAAAUAGGAAAUCAAACAUUACUCUGGUUUAGGGUGUCGGGGGCUACCUUAUGGGCUGUGUCCUAGAGGUCACGUGAUCUCUGACUCCCUGGGAAGUGGGGCUCCUGCUGUGCCCUCUUCUUUCAUCUCUUUUGUACCCAGUCACAUCUUUUCCCCUCAGCAAAGGAACAACUCUCCCUGAUUUAAGGCACUCAGAAUUGCUCCUGUCCUGGGUUCUUCUUCUCUCCCUCCUUACACUGAAAGCUGACACAUUUCUGGAAUCCUAGAGCAGGAAGGAGCCUUGGAGACACAAACCUGACUCUUCUGACAGCAGAGUCUCUUCUGGCUCUUCCUGCUGCAUAAAGCUUUCUUCCAUACAGCGGGAGUUUAAUAAGUGCUUGAAUAAUGAGUCAGUCACUGAAUGUUUCUCCUAAGCUAUUCUUGGCCCAAAAGAUUUGCCUAGGACAACCUCCUCAUGGACACUGGAAAACCAGACAUUGCUAAUGAGCAUUAUAAUAAUUCUUAUUGGUUAUAACAGUAACUACUGCUAUCAGCAUUUAUUGAGCACCUAUGUGCCAGGCGCUACAUUAGGUACUUUACAUACAUUUUCCCCAAAAUAAUCUGGGACAAUCUGUGUUAUUAUUUUCAUUGGUCAGAUGAAGAAAUUGAGGCUCAGAAAGUGAGCUGAUUUGUUCAAGGUCAUAGCUCGGAAGUGGCAGAGCCAGGAUUUAAAGCCAUAUCUGUUAGUCUCAGAAGCUCAUAUUCUUUGCAAUAUUCCCUCUUUAUGGCUUAAUAAAUGUUAAUCUGGCAGAUCUCCCAGGAAUUGUGUGAACAGCUUGGCUGUCCCUCACACUGAGGCUGCCUGGUCUUAGAAAGUCCACAUGGGACCAUCGGAAACAGUGACAAGGACCGUGACCAAAGAGGAACAGCUAAGAGUACAGCUGCCGUCAUUUCACUGUGACUGUGUGGCUCUCAUAUCAAAAGGGGGCUAGGCUGGAGUCCAUAGACCAUUGGAGUUACUCGAAAAUAUGCAUACACUGGAAAGAAGUGAAAUGUUCUCUUUAUCUAGCACCUGAUAGGUAAUAGGACACGUCCAUGUACAUGCUCUAAUCAUCCUCAUAAGAGAUUGGAGGAGGGCAUUAGAAUUGUUUUUUUCCAUCGUUUGGAUGAGGAUGCUGCUGCAGCUCAGAUAUAAGUAAAUUUUCCAAGGUAAUGCAGUUAGUGGCUGAGCCAGGAUGCAAACCUCAUUCUCCUGACAUCAACUCCACCACUAUAUCUAUUAGAGCAGUGUUUCUCAAAAAUUUAAAGUGUAAAUGGAUCACCUGGACAUCUUGUUAAAAUGCAUGUUCUGAUCCAGUAGAUUUGGAGUGGGGCCUGGGAUUUUCCAUUUUUAAUGAUCUUUCAGAAGAUGCCCAUGCUGCUGGGAAUGGGGUCUCCAUGGCCUCAGGAUAUAUCCCUUCCACAGUCCCAUGCCUCAGAAGAACCAGAUGUGUGCAUCUGUAUGAGGGAGGGAUUAUGUGGUCUUCUCGGCAGCUGAUGAGGGGCUCAGAUGCACCAGGACUCCAGUUUCUGGGUGAUAGGUAAGCAUUUGCACCAUCCUGUUCUCCACUACCCUACCAGCAAAAAUACGUAUGUGAAAUUGCAAAUUCUGAAGCGCGCUGUGUGUGUCCAUUGAUUAUCAUUUUUAGUGAGCAGCAUCAACAUUAAUGUGGCCAAUGGCUGUAGGAUCCUGCUCCUGGCAUGUGAGUCAUCCACAGUGAGGAUGGGUCUCUAGGGGACGGGCUGAUUCUUGGAAACUGUUGUUACUGUUUAGGACCCAUUAUGACUUGUUCCUUCCCCCUGCAAAAGAGCAAAGCGAGACCUGUUACUUAGUGUUGCUGGUUACCCAAGAUGACAAAGUAAACUUAUGGAAGACAGAGCCUAUUGAAGACAGGGUACAGGUAAUGUUCAAAGACUUACUAUCUGGUGGGCUCAGGAAUUGGCAAAUUAGAAGGAUACCAGAGGUAAACAACGGUACAGCCGUACUGGAGUGCACCAGCUAAAUAGCUGCCCUGCCUUUGGGUUCUGAGUCUUGCAAAGUUCUAUGAAAAUUCCUGAGACUUAACAACACCACCCAAAUAUUAAAGUUUAAUAAUGUUUUAAUUAAUUGUUUAUAAAUCAUACAUAUGUCAAUGCCUAAUUGGAAAUCAACUCUUAAAUAGUUAGGUAUAAGUUUUGAGUAGGCUAUGAGAGUAUUUGAAUAUGUUUGAUAAGCAAUGGGAUGGUGUCUCCAGAGGUGAGAGUACCUAAGAUUUACAGAGACCCUAAAAUCCCCAUGGAGGAGGGAGGGAUGAAUGGAGCUAAUGAUUAGGUCAGAUCUCUCCUUUCAAAUCCUAUAUGGCUUCUUAUGUUUUCCCCAUUUUCCAAAGAGAGGUGAGACUGCUCUAUCAGUGGGGUAGCAGGAUGGGCACUGGCCUGUGUAGCAAGAGGUCUGCAUUCCUUUCGCAGAUCAAUUGUUUACUCAUCCAUGAUGCAUGUAUUUACUGAGCCAGGCUAGGCUAGACUCUUCAGAUAUUACUGAGUAGAGAUCAGUGGCUAGGCAAAUCACUCAACCCCUCUGAGUCUCAGCUUUUCUAUCUAUAAGAUGAGAGGUUGAACUACAUGUUGUUUCAGGGUCUUUCUAGCUGACAUUGCCCAGAACUCGAAAACAUCUCAGAGCUGUGGUGGAAACCAUUGCAUGGUUUUCUUGUAUCCUUGGGCACAUGAGAGCCUCACUUAAAAAAAAAUUUUUUUUUAUUAUAGUUGAUUUACAAUGUUCUGUCAAUUUCCACUGUAUAGCAAAGUGACCUAGUUAUGCAUAUAUGUGCAUCCUUUUUCUCCCAUUAUCCUCCAUCAUGUUCCAUCACAAGUGAUUAUAGUUUCCUAUGCUAUGCAGCUGGAUCUCAUUGCUUAUCCAGUCCAAAUGCAGUAGUUUGCAUCUACCAACCCCAAACUCACAGUCCAUCCCACUCCCUCCUCAUCCCCCUUGGCAACCACAAGUCUGUUCUCCAAGUUCAUGAAUUUGUUUCUGUUCUGUAGAUUGGUUCAUUUGUGCCAUAUAUUAGAUUCCAGAUAUAAGUGCUAUCGCAUGUCUUUCUCUUUCUGAUUUACUCCGCUUAGUAUGAGAGUCUCUAGUUCCACCCAUGUUGCUGCAAAUGGCAUUAUUUUGUUCUUUUUUAUGGCUGAGUCAUAUUCCAUUGUGCAUAUGUACCACAUCUUCAUAAUCCAUUCAUCUGCUGAUGGACCUUUAGGUUGUUUCCAUGCCUUGGCUAUUGUGAGAGAGCAUCACUCUUUAUACAGCCAGCUGGACUCUUUAGGAGCUGCAGACCUUAGAACCUGUGUUGAGGAUUUUCAUCUGAGGCUGGUGGGUUGGUAGGAAGGGAAAAACCUAGGUCUCGGGGCAUUUCUCAUGCUGAAAGGUGCCUGGUAGUUGAAAUUGAGAUAUACUAUAAGUAUAAAAUGUGCACUGAAUUUCAAAGACAUGGAAUUUAAAAAAUGUAAGUUAUCUCAUGAAUAAUUUUUGUAUGAUUACAAGUUGAAAUGAUAACAUGUGGAUAAAUUAAGUAAAAUACAUUAUUAAAAUUAAUUUCACCUCUUUCACAAGCCUUGGGAGAUUCUGAAUUCCCAAAUUACAAAUACUUGCUUUAGCUCUGUCCCCUCUCUCCCCUUUCCUUUCCUCUUCUCUUUCCCCUUCUUUCUCGCUUUCUCUCUUUUUCUAUCUUUUCCCUGCUUCAUUAGAAUUGUUGUUUGUAAACUUGUUUCUAGACUCUAAUACAGUGAGGGAAACUGAGGCAAAGAAAACAUAGUCUUAACUUUUCCAGGAUCCUUCAUACAAUAAAAGGAAGAAACCAGAAGACUUUUAGAUUUAAAGUAUCUCUUUCCUAGGGGGCAUUUCAGACUUUGUGAUACAUUUAAUAUGUUUGAAGCUAUCAGAAAAGGCAUCCAGCAAGAUGGGCUCCGGUUUUGUGUUUCUAGAAACUAAUCUGAAAAAUGUGAAGGGAGGCCGUGUGGGAGUGAAUGCUCCAUGUUAGGACUGAGACCCAGAAGGUAGAGUCCAGUUCACUGAGAAGGAGGAGUAGAGAGAGAGGACACAGUCCCCAACACUUGGGCAGUAUGGAUAUGGCUGAAUGGCCACUUGGGGGAAUGUUAGAGGGGACAGACAACUUUCUGAAGAAGGGAUAAACUAAAUGACCUUGAAGGUCUCUUCCAACCCGGAGGGCCUAUGACUUGUAAGCAUCCUGGAGAACAAGAAUACACUUCUUAAGCUGAAUGCAGUAUAUUUGCAACUUUAUGUGCCAAACAAUAUAGCUUUAAAAUGUAGUAAAAAGAUUGACAG